rnacentral:rRNA from 1 species
UACGAGAGGCCCAAACGUUAUUCGGAUUUACUGGGCUUAAAGAGUUCGUAGGCGGUUCGGUAAGUGAGGUGUGAAAUCCCUUGGCUCAACCAAGGAAUUGCGCUUCAAACUGCCGGGCUUGAGGGAGAUAGAGGUGAGCGGAACUGAUGGUGGAGCGGUGAAAUGCGUUGAUAUCAUCAGGAACACCAGAGGCGAAGGCGGCUCACUGGGUCUCUUCUGACGCUGAGGAACGAAAGCUAGGGGAGCAAACGGGG